GGAAUAUUUUAACCAGUGCACCAGGAGGGCAACCAGGAAAAUUAACAUUGUGGAUUGAAAAAACAACAACUCAUUUUUAGUAGUUUACAGGAGUGUCUCAGACAGUAGGCCUACACCCUCAAUUUCCCACAGAAGGGGUUGGCGGUGGUGGGAUUGGCCCAACUACACAAGGCGAGUGACAGUGAUGAAUGAAGCCUUUGCACGCAGUGAGCCCCUUGCAUCGCAUCAUCACAGGCAAAGAGAGGCGGACGGAAGGUGUUUUUUUUUCCCCCUUCUUUCUGCUGGGGAAACGCUGGUUCGGUUCAUCCACGGAUUAAACAGUGAUAGAGGCCCUGAUCAAUUUUAUCUGUGAGCAACAGGGUAUUCAAAGGUCAAAAACCUCCUUGCGGAAUCGGAAGGCGAGGCUGAUAAUAACUGGCCUAGUUCGAAACUGGGUUCACCCCUUCAACUCAACUUGCCUUCAUGUUUGUUACUGGUCAUGUUUCUGCAUUCAAGUGUGUUUGCACCAUUUUCCCCAUCACGUUUUUUUCCGACCUGGUUAGGAAGCAAGCUGUUGAUGCGUUUAAAUAUAAAGCAGCAGAGAAUGAGUGGCAGUGCUACAAAGAAAAAAAAAUCCCAAUUCAAUUAUGUUAAGUGGCCUAGACUCAAAAAGAGAGCGGGUCUGUUUCAAAUUGUGCCUGUUUCAACUCACAAAACACCCAUUUUAUCCCGCCAAACGUAACAUGAGCUCACAGCGUCGCCGCACCGAGAUGAAGACUUCUUUUACAGACAAAAGGCAGCCGUCAACAUUUACUAUUUAGAUCUCAACACGCCAACGUCGCGGCAGAGAUGGCAAAUGAACACCAACUGUCAGUGUUGAGUCAAUGUCGCUGUCCUGGCUUGUUUAGCAUCUUUGGAAUAGUUUAUUUCAACGAAUUACCAUUUUAUGUACUGUGGAACCUUGACGUUUUUUCAAACAAAUGUUAUUUUUUUCAUCUUUCAUUUGCAUUUGUUUAUAAUUGUUUAUGCCACGUCUGGGAAAAACCAAGAUAAAUGCAACUGGCAUAUUUUUGGGAUUGUGGCAUACCAAGUUUUAUUACUGUGCAUGUGUUGACCUAUCCUUGUC